GACAGAGGGUGCAAACGUUGUUCGGAAUUACUGGCGUAAAGCGAGUGUAGGCGGUCUCAUAAGUCGGGUGUGAAAUCCCUGGGCUCAACCGAGGAAGUGCAUCCGAAACUAACUAGCUAGAGAAUGGUAGAGGAAGGUGGAAUUCCGUGUGUAGAGGUGAAAUUCGUAGAUAUACGGAGGAAUACCGGUGGCGAAGGCGGGUCUCUGGGCCGAUACUGACGCUGAGGAGCGAAAGCGUGGGGAGCGAACAGG
rnacentral:rRNA from 1 species